AUUGAACGCUGGCGGCAGGCCUAACACAUGCAAGUCGAACGCGUGGCGGACGGGUGAGUAAUGUCUGGAAAUCUGCCUGAUGGAGGGGGAUCACUACUGGAAACGGUAGCUAAUACCGCAUACCCUCGGGUUUGCCCAAGUGGGAUUCGCUAGUAGGGGGGGGAAAGGCUCACCUAGGCGACGACCCCUAGCUGGUCUGAGAGGAUGACCAGCCACACUGGAACUGAGACACGGUCCAGACUCCUACGGGAGGCAGCAGUGGGGAAUAUUGCACAAUGGGCGCAAGCCUGAUGCAGCCAUGCCGCGUGUAUGAAGAAGGCCUUCGGGUGGUAAAGUACUUUCAGCGGGGAGGCGUUACCCGCAGAAGAAGCACCGGCUAACUCCGUGCCAGCAGCCGCGGUAAUAC
rnacentral:rRNA from 1 species